GAAACAAAACACUGUCAUUUGUUUAAAGUCUAAUGUGCAAAUAGAAAUAUUCAAAUGCAGGAAUAUCCUGUGGUCUGUCAAAAUCUGAUAUUACUUCUAGAAAUCAUACAAAGGUAAAGAGGAAGGAGCCAUCAGUACGGUGUACAUUUUAGGACAUCGUCAGGUCCCAAGAAAAAAGUUGUCAGGUAUCAGACAAAAAAUUGUCAGGUCUCAGUUCUCAAGAAAAAAGUUGUCAGGUAUCAGACAAAAAAAUGUCAGGUUGUCAGGUAUCAGACAAAAAAUUGUCAGGUCUCAGUUGUCAAGAAAAAAGUUGUCAGGUAUCAGACAAAAAAUUGUCAGGUCUCAGUUGUCAAGAAAAAAGUUGUCAGGUAUCAGACAAAAAAUUGUCAGGUCUCAGUUGUCAAGAAAAAAGUUGUCAGGUAUCAGACCAAAAAAUUGUCUGGUCACAGUUCUCAAGAAAAAAGUUGUCAGGUAUCAGACAAAAAAAUGUCAGGUCUCAGUUCUCAAGAAAAAAGUUGUCAGGUAUCAGAACACAAGGUACCAGAGAGAAAAUCUUCCUGCAGGUGGCGGUGUUGUCAUGUCCCACCCUGUGUUGCCAACUUAGCGAAUUUGUCGCUAUAUUUAGCGAGUUUUCAG
ensembl:lncRNA